AGUGAAGCUGGUGUCCUUGAAGGACAAGUGUUCAGGAAAACCGGCAGACUUGUUCCACUGAGUGAGCAGAAUCACGCGGAAUGCUUCGGCCCUCAAGGCAAUAGGGCUGCAGAGGUGGACUAAUGGAUUACGCAUUCCAGUAUGCUCUUGGCAACGGAGGUGUGGACUUGGAUCUAUUUUAUCCAUAUCAUACAAAGGGACCCUGCGCGCCCGUGAACUCACCCCCGUGGGACAGGGACAGAGUCCCGUCAGCUGAGAACCGCGCGGUUCCAGCUGCUGCUGUUGCUUCUCCUCACUGUUCAGAGAACGAGGCUUUGUGAAGAGACCUCCGUGAUGACGAUUUACACCUGGAAGUGACGUCGGAGGGGAUCCUACUCCCUUUAAGAACAAAUGGGACUCGAGUAAAGACCUGCCCCUCCCUAAGAUGGACUCAAGGCCACAUGCCCUGGUCAAGGUAUGUUAGGGACAUGAUGACGACCAAGAUUGCAAAACAAUGCUUUCUGGACAUUGUGGUGCCAGGAAGUGCCCUUGAGCACAGAUUACUUUGAGGAAUCUGAAAAUUACAUUGGAAAUAAUUUUCAGAUUGGACAGUGGAUUGGUAUAACUUUAUAGAUGGGUUCUUUUGGGCCAAUACCUACCUACAGAAGUGUUUGUAACUGAUCCUGCUAAAUGUAUUGUGGGAGUAGGUUUGUUGAUUAUAGGUAAUAGUUCUCUUGAUCAUAAGGAAUGUUCUCAAUGCGGAAAUACCAUGAUUGGAACAGUGAUGGUGACUGUGGGUAAAACUGUAACUUUUCCAGAAUAUCUCACCUGGCUUUGGUACACCUGCAUAUCAACAGGCAUUCAGA